rnacentral:rRNA from 1 species
CGAGUGGCGGACGGGUGAGUAAUGUCUGGGAAACUGCCUGAUGGAGGGGGAUAACUACUGGAAACGGUAGCUAAUACCGCAUAACGUCGCAAGACCAAAGGGGGGGACCUUCGGGCCUCUUGCCAUCGGAUGUGCCCAGAUGGGAUUAGCUAGUAGGUGGGGUAACGGCUCACCUAGGCGACGAUCCCUAGCUGGUCUGAGAGGAUGACCAGCCACACUGGAACUGAGACACGGUCCAG